GUUAUUCUUUUAAUUUUCAGAGAAUUCACGGCUGGGACCAGCUAGUCCAUGGCUCCACCUUCUUGGGAGCAGAUUAGAUCCGCUUUCAAGCCAGUGAGGUGAUCUGAGUCCCAGCAGCCUCAUCUGCCAAGUCAACCCCUGCACUGCAUUGAGAAAGCUGCGGUCAGAGAUUCAGAGUGAAGACAAGUGCUGUCCCACGCCAGAGCCCAAACCUGUCCCCGGGUUGGGAAGCUGAGGAGUGAUUAUUUGGUUCUCGGAUGCUUCGAGGGUGCCUCAUGUGGUAUGCGAUCAGUGCACACAUCCCAGAUUCCUGCUUUUGAGUAAUGAAGGCGACCAAACCACGUGACCCUGCCUGCAAAGAUCCCACCUGGACUCCCGGUUCCUCCAAGGAGCCAUCGUGUGGUUCAAAUCCAUCAGAAAUUCUCCAAAUCUCCACCCUCCUCAGGGUGCAGAGUUGGCUGCUUUUCUGUGUCCCCUGCUGAUCACCGCAACCACUGGGCGCCUUGGCCUGCGAAGCCUCAGCUGUCCUCCGUCUGCAGACGAGCCGAGGAGCAGUUGCCUCUGGGGUGCCACAGUUGCCCAGAAUCCCUGGCAGCCACCUGUUCAAAGAAUCUUGAAGCAAUCAGAUGGUUGAUGCAGAAGAAGGUUCGUGAAUUCUGGAUUUAGCUUUGAAUGCUUCAGCCGGCCUGGAAUUUGUCUGUAUUUGUCUGCCUGCUGCCUCAUGGUGGCCCAUUUUAUUUCCUCUACCUGAAGGACAAGUGGAUACCUCUGAGCAAUCUGGGGGAAGAGAAUCAUGGUUUCCAUUAAACCCAGCCUGAGGUUUGAAAACUCUGGGCAAGGGAAGGUAUGUGCUUCAAGAAAAUUUCCUGGAUUCUUGCUGAACUAGCAAGGCAAGGGUUUGCUCUUAAGCCUUACCACCUCAUUCCCUAACAGCUCUGUUCUGGGUUAAGUCACUUUAAUGAACUGCCCUGCCAUUCCCAGGUGAGAUGUAAAUUAGAACCUGCAGUCCCAAUACCAGAGCCAUGUUCUCAGUAUGUGAAGAAACCCUAACAGCCGAGACAGAAUGAAUGCCGGACUGAUAAAGGGGCCAGGUCUACACAAGCACACCCAUGGGACAACCCGAGGGCACGUUAUUUUGGUCGGAGUUAUCUCCUGGGUCACGG
rnacentral:lncRNA from 1 species